AUUGAACGCUGGCGGCAGGCCUAACACAUGCAAGUCGAACGAGUGGCGGACGGGUGAGUAAUGUCUGGGAAACUGACUGAUGGAGGGGGAUAACUACUGGAAACGGUAGCUAAUACCGCAUACCAUCAGAUGUGCCCAGAUGGGAUUAGCUAGUUGGUGGGGUAACGGCUCACAAAGGCGACGCUCCCUAGCUGGUCUGAGAGGAUGACCAGCCACACGUGAACUGGGACACGGUCCAGACUCCUACGGGAGGCAGCGGUGGGGAAUAUUGCACAAUGUGCGCAAGCCUGAUGCAGCCAUGCCGCGUGUAUGAAGAAGGCCUUCGGGUUGUAAAGUACUUUCAGCGGGGAGGCGUUACCCGCAGAAGAAGCACCGGCUAACUCCGUGCCAGCAGCCGCGGUAAUAC
rnacentral:rRNA from 1 species